GACGAACGCUGGCGGCGUGCUUAACACAUGCAAGUCGAACGGUGAACCAGGGCUUGCCCUGGGGAUCAGUGGCGAACGGGUGAGUAACACGUGGGCAACCUGCCCCUGACUCUGGGAUAACUCCUCGAAAGAGGUGCUAAUACCGGAUACGACCACUUCGGGCAUCCGAUGGUGGUGGAAAGAAUUUUGGUCAGGGGAUGGGCCCGCGGCCUAUCAGCUUGUUGGUGGGGUAACGGCCCACCAAGGCGACGACGGGUAGCCGGCCUGAGAGGGUGACCGGCCACACUGGGACUGAGACACGGCCCAGACUCCUACGGGGGGCAGCAGUGGGGGAUCUUGCACAAUGGGCGAAAGCCUGAUGCAGCGACGCCGCGUGAGCGAAGAAGGCCUUCGGGUUGUAAAGCUCUGUCUGGAGGGACGAACAAAAUGACGGUACCUCCGGAGGAAGCCACGGCUAACUACGUG
rnacentral:rRNA from 1 species